UCAUUGCAUUCUCAGCUUUAUUACAUUCAGCAUUCAUAGUCUCAGACAUGAAUAAUAAAUAAGGUUUGUCUUGUCGGAAGGCAAGACCCACAUAUUUAUUAUUUAACUAUAGCUUACAAUCAUCUUUGCUUGAAGGGAACAUAAAAGACAUCAUGUAAAACCCUUUGUCUAGGCAUUGACCUGAUUCUGCACUUUCUCGAGGUAUUCUUUUGCUGUGGGAUUGCACUAAUGAAGUGCAUCACUUGCUCUGAAAUAAUGACGAGAAGAUGGUGAGAACACCAACAUUUAAAACUUGGUAGAAUAAUUGAAUAUCUUAAUUGAACAUUGGUCAAAAUCAAGAUAUACAAAAAUUAACUCGCUGCAUAAAAUCUAAUCACCGUUGGGCAAAAUAGAAUUAAAUGCUUAAAAUUGGAACUUGGUAUUUACAAUAUUGCUAUUUUUAACGUUGGUCAAAAAAUAACGAUAUUACAAAAAUUUCUGGGCUUCGAACCUUGUUUCUCGAAUUAAAUAUCCCGUUGGUUCAAUUUAAUAAGAGAACUAAAAUGUCUUGCGCAGCGGAAAACGUAAAUUAACUUGCUAGAAUCGUAACUUGCUGUAACUUGGAAUUUGCAAUAUUGUUAUUAUUGACGUUGGUCAAAAAUUAACAAUAUUACAAAGAAUUCUGUGCUUGAAAACUCGGCUUCUCAAAUUAAAUAUCCCGUUGGUUCAAUUUAAUAUGAGAAUUAAAACUAUAACUUGCGCAGCGAAAAAUAUUAAUUUACUUGAUAUUUUCAGAAGCAUAUCUGGCUGACUGUGCUUUCUAAUUAAUAUACACUUUGGUGCAAAUUAAAUAGAAUUUAAAACUGAGCAAAAAACAAUUAUUCAAAAGCUUCUGAAAAUAAAAUGAAAAAGGUUACUGUGCUGGUUUGGGCCGGGGCGAACGAAGUGCCCCACAUCCACUUUCGGCUCAGCCCGGCUAGCGGCUCAGCAGCGCGCAGCGCCUAGCCCAGCCUGUGGCGAUUUUUUUUUCUUUCCCUCUCGGCCCAUCAAGCAAAGCGGCCCGCGCGCUCGCUCUCUGUCUGGGCUUGGCCCAGCUCGGCCGCCCGCUUGCUCCUCCCCGCGCCCAGGCCGCAACCUGGGCCUGGGCCGGGAAUCUGCGCCCCCGCCUGGGCCAUAUUUGGCCUGACGCAAUCGCGGCCGUUGAUCUGCAUCCGACGGCCCUCCUUUAUCUCGGGUGAACAAAAUCCCCCAGUUAGCUGCCACUGAAGCCCUAGCCCUCAUUCUUGCCUGCGCCCUCUCUCUGCGCACCGGACGGCAGGGAGCCGCCGCCGCCGGCACCGCGGCCAGCAGCAGGGCCACCGCCGGCGAUGGCCUUCUCUUGCUUGUUCUCGCUCGCGUCUCGCGUCUUCCUCUCCAGCCCGCGCCGCGCCCCGCAGUAAAACGCCACCGUAGCGGCAGCGGUUACCUUCGGCGGCCGGAGAAGAAUGGCGCCGCCGCGGCUCCUAUCGCUGGAGCGCGCGCUCCCCUUAGUGGGUGAGCGCGGCGCCGUCGAUGGGGUUCGCGUCGGUGCCCUGCGCUUGGGCUGUCCCUGCUGUCCGCCCCGUCGGCCAUGGUGGCGGCCGGCGGCGUGGUCGGAUGGACGAGCUCAGGUAGGAACGCCCCCUUUCCUUGUUGCUUUUAGGGUUAGGGUAUCGAAAUCCCCUUCCCCGAUCUGGGUCUUGUGCUAGGGUUGAGGUUUUGGAUCUGGACGCUAGGGUUAGGAAAAACUCGAUUUUCUGGGUAGGGUUGGGAUUUCGAAAAAUCCUCUCCUUCUACUUGCUGUUCUUUUGCUUUUCUCGUGCUUGUCUCGCGGGUGAAUCCCAAAUUCAAUCUAUAUGCUAGAUCGGCUCUGAUACCAUUGAUAGAAAUUUAGGAUCAUCUAGCAGUAGAAUAGAUCGGGAUUCGAGUACAACAAAUAUAGCAAAUAAACAUAGGCAGUAGAACUGCACUUGUAUGCAAUAGAUCUACUACACAUGGAGAGAAACAUAGAGGUUUAGGGGAUUAGGAUUAGACCGUCGAGGCGUCCAUGGCGUCGGUGUUGAGGCAGUGGUGGCGCUUCCCGACGCUGCUGCACUGGCCGAUCGGAUGGCACUAGGGUUAGAGUCGAGUGGGGCAAGCAGCAUGCUGUGGC
rnacentral:lncRNA from 1 species